rnacentral:rRNA from 1 species
AACGAACGCUGGCGGCGUGCUUAACACAUGCAAGUCGAGCGGUAAGGCCCCUUCGGGGGUACACGAGCGGCGAACGGUGAGUAACACGUGGGUGACCUGCCCUCAGCUCUGGGAUAAGCCUGGGAAACUGGGUCUAAUACCGGAUAUGACUCCAUGACGCAUGUCGUGGGUGAAAGCCUUGUGCGGCUGGGGAUGGGCCCGCGGCCUAUCCAGCUUGUUGGUGGGGUGAUGGCCUACCAAGGCGACGACGGGUAGCCGGCCUGAGAGGGC